UUGCUGCCUGCUCUGAUGCUAGCCAUGCCUCCAACGCCUCCCCAGUCAGGCCUGCCUUACCUGCCUCUGAUGCACCGUAGACUCCACAAAGUGUGAAGAGCACAGCUAAUAACAAGGACAAGUCUGAAAAUCCUGCUAUGAAGCCUUCUAAGAGUGCUCUGGUGCCACAGAAGCCCUUCACUAGGAAAAGGUCCUGUCCAACGAGCAAAGGAAACGUGGCCAAGAAGCUCCUGAUUGAUGAUGAGGCCGAAGAAGACGACGGUGGCAGCAGCGGGGGUGCACCCUCCGCGGAUCAGCAA